GUGCUCAUGCUUUUGAUAUUUUUUUUCCCUGGAAUUUUAAUGAUUUCUCAUCUCCUUCUUCUUUUUUAUUGUUUAAGUCAGAUUUGGACUUUCUGUUUUCUAAUUUUUGGGUCAUCAUCUGUAGUGUCAAAGCCAGGCUGCUGUUCAGAAGGAAGCUUUAGGAUUGCAAACUAAAGCCAAAACCAAGGAAUCUGAAUUUGAAAAACCAAUAAAUUCAGCAUUAGCAGGGGCUAUUGGUGGUAGGUGACAUUACUAAAGCUGCAGAAGCUGCACUAAAGUUGGAGCGUGAAAGAUUAAAAAAGUUGGAAGACUUGGAUGAAGGAAACAAGGCAUUAGGAUUGAAUGUAAAUAAGGAGGUUUCUACUGGUGUGAAAAAGUUAUUGAGGGAAUCGUCUGGCCAGUACAGCGACUUCAGUAUUCUUUCCUCUUUAAAUUCUCAGGUAAAUCAUGUAACUUACUGUUUGUUUAGUAGGAUAUAUGUUUUUAUAUAUAUCUAUAAUAUUUUAGGUGAAAAUUUAUGAUCUUUAAGAAAGUGUUAGAUGGCACUAGAUGCAUUAGAUCAAUCCAUAUGUGUUGUUUUAGGUUCAGAUCACUUCCAGGACUUGUCAACCAAACCCAAAGGGAUAUCAUAGAAUGUAAUGUCUGCUUUUAUUUGCCUUUUCAUUC